AGGGAAACUUUAUUACUUCUUUCUUUUUUCUCUCUCUUUCUCACUCUCUCACGCCUCUGCCCUCCUCCAGCUCUCUCUCUCGCCUUUGUCUCCAUCGUCGUCGGGUACGGGAGCAUCACUGCCAUCGCACACGAGCACCACCGUCACUGCGUAUGCGAUUCCACUUUGAUCGACUCAGCCCUUCCUCUUUGAUCUCUCUGAAAUUAUCUCUAGAUCGACCAAGGAUCUCCGGGCCACCAUUAUCACAGGUGAGUCUUUUGACUGAAAAUGGAAACACCAAGGAUGAUUUGAGGCUCCCCACUGAUGAUGCUCUGCUCUCCACUGAAAAUUCUAGCCAUGACUGGUCAUUGACAGGUCAUUUGGCUUUGAUACUGCUGUUGAGGAAGCUCAGCGAGCCAUCAAUGCUGCGCAUGUUGAAGCUGAAAGUGUUGAGAAUGGUGUUGGUGUAGUGAAGCUAAUGGGCCGCUACAGUGUAUUCAAUGUAGAAAUCGCUAAUAUCAAAAGCUGAAAUCGCAAACAAAGCAUUCCAAAAUGAAUCAUUUCAUUUCAAGUGUGGUUUCUUAUCUCACAGAGAUUUACUGGUGCAGGCUUCAUUGCAAUGUAUGCUACACUUGCCAGCCGAGAUGUGGACUGUUGUUUGAUUCCAGAAUCACCCUUCUUUCUGGAAGUGGUAGUGGAUGUAAUAGAUAUUGGUGAACAUGUUCUAAAACUCGUUAAUUUUGUUGUUUGGAAAUGUUGGAAAAGGCAAUAGCAACUCCUCCAACUGUUUCACCAAUAUGGUGUUCCCCAUUACUUGAGGUAUGUGUAGAAUUAAAAUUAUGUCAUAAAAUUCUCUACUCAACUUUUUUAAUGAUCCCAUUGAAUGAAAUUUCUAACUACGCUAGUUCUACUAUAUUUGAAGU